AUUGAACGCUGGCGGCAGGCUUAACACAUGCAAGUCGAGCGGGGGAGGUUGCUUCGGUAACUGACCUAGCGGCGGACGGGUGAGUAAUGCUUAGGAAUCUGCCUAUUAGUGGGGGACAACAUUCCGAAAGGAAUGCUAAUACCGCAUACGCCCUACGGGGGAAAGCAGGGGAUCUUCGGACCUUGCGCUAAUAGAUGAGCCGAAGUCGGAUUAGCUAGUUGGUGGGGUAAAGGCCUACCAAGGCGACGAUCUGUAGCGGGUCUGAGAGGAUGAUCCGCCACACUGGGACUGAGACACGGCCCAGACUCCUACGGGAGGCAGCAGUGGGGAAUAUUGGACAAUGGGCGGAAGCCUGAUCCAGCCAUGCCGCGUGUGUGAAGAAGGCCUUUUGGUUGUAAAGCACUUUAAGCGAGGAGGAGGCUCUUAAGGUUAAUACCCUUGAUGAGUGGACGUUACUCGCAGAAUAAGCACCGGCUAACUCUGUGCCAGCAGCCGCGGUAAGAC
rnacentral:rRNA from 1 species